GCAGUGGUGGCUUGGUGGUAGACUCCUCGCCUUCAGUCGGGGAGACCCGGGUUCAAUUCCCGGCCAGUGCA
rnacentral:tRNA from 1 species